rnacentral:rRNA from 1 species
UCCUACGGGGGGCAGCAGUAGGGAAUAUUGGACAAUGGGCGCAAGCCUGAUCCAGCCAUGCCGCGUGAGUGAAGAAGGCCCUCGGGUUGUAAAGCUCUUUUGUCCGGAAAGAAAUCCCUGUGGUUAAUACCCGCGGGGGAUGACGGUACCGGAAGAAUAAGCACCGGCUAACUUCGUGCCAGCAGCCGCGGUAAUACGAAGGGUGCAAGCGUUACUCGGAAUUACUGGGCGUAAAGCGUGCGUAGGUGGUUCGUUAAGUGUGAUGUGAAAGCCCUGGGGUCAACCUGGGAAUGGCAUUGGAAACUGGCGGGCUAGAGUGCGGUGGAGGGUAGUGGAAUUCCCGGUGUAGCAGGGAAAUGCGUAGAGAUCGGGAGGAACAUCCGUGGCGAAGGCGACUGCCUGGACCAGCACUGACACUGAGGCACGAAAGCGUGGGGAGCAAACAGGAUUAGAUACCCCGGUAGUCCCC